rnacentral:rRNA from 1 species
UCCUACGGGAGGCAGCAGUGGGGAAUAUUGCACAAUGGGCGCAAGCCUGAUGCAGCAACGCCGCGUGAGGGACGAAGGCCUUCUGGUUGUAAACCUCUUUUAGUAGGGAAGAAGCGACUGGGUUUUCCUGGGAGUGACGGUACCUGCAGAAAAAGCACCGGCUAACUACGUGCCAGCAGCCGCGGUAAUACGUAGGGUGCAAGCGUUGUCCGGAAUUAUUGGGCGUAAAGAGCUCGUAGGCGGUUUGUCGCGUCUGCUGUGAAGACCCGAGGCCCAACCUCGGGCCUGCAGUGGGUACGGGCAGACUAGAGUGCGGUAGGGGAGAUUGGAAUUCCUGGUGUAGCGGUGGAAUGCGCAGAUAUCAGGAGGAACACCAAUGGCGAAGGCAGAUCUCUGGGCCGUAACUGACGCUGAGGAGCGAAAGCAUGGGGAGCGAACAGGAUUAGAUACCCUGGUAGUCCAUGCCGUAAACGUUGGGAACUAGAUGUGGGGACCAUUCCACGGUCUCCGUGUCGCAGCUAACGCAUUAAGUUCCCCGCCUGGGGAGUACGGCCGCAAGGCUAAAGCUCAAAGGAAUUGACGGGGGCCCGCACAAGCGGCGGAGCAUGCGGAUUAAUUCGAUGCAACGCGAAGAACCUUACCAAGGCUUGACAUAUACCGGAAACGGCUGGAAACAGUCGCCCCGCAAGGUCGGUAUACAGGUGGUGCAUGGUUGUCGUCAGCUUGUGUCGUGAGAUGUUGGGUUAAGUCCCGCAACGAGCGCAACCCUCGUCCUAUGUUGCCAGCACGUAAUGGUGGGAACUCAUGGGAUACUGCCGGGGUCAACUCGGAGGAAGGUGGGGAUGACGUCAAAUCAUCAUGCCCCUUAUGUCUUGGGCUUUCACGCAUGCUACAAUGGCCGGUACAAAGGGCUGC